GUUGUGACCCCGGCUGGCGUUAUUAUUCAGACCACUGCUAUUUAGUCAGUCAGGAACAAACGUCUUGGCAUGAAGCUAAGUUUCAAUGUGAAAGUAAUGGAGCGUUCCUGGCUGAUAUCAACUCUGCCGAGGAGAACACAUGGAUUACAGACAAACUCAUUGAUAACCAAACCUGGUCAGUUAUUACUCACCACGUAUGGAUUGGUGCAAAUGAUAUUGACAAAGAGGGCGUCUUCAUCUGGAGUGAGAUGAAUUCUACUCUGAAUUUUUCGAAUUGGAAUCAGGAAGAACCAAAU